UUUAAAAUUAAGCCUGCCCAAUGAUGAUUAUGAAUGGCCGCAGUAUUUUGACUGUGCAAAGGUAGCAUAAUAAUUAGUUUAUUAAUUGUAAGCUGGAAUGAAUGGUUAAAUGAAAAAUUUACUGUCUCUGAUUUAAAAAUUUGAACUUUAAUUUUAAGUAAAAAAGCUUAAAUUAUUUAAAAAGACGAGAAGACCCUUUAAAGUUUUAUAAAUAAAAUAAUAAAAAGUUCAAAGAUUAUUUAUUUUUAUUUUUCUGUUUAUUUUGUUGGGGUGACAUAAACAUUUGAAAAACUUUUAUAUUUAAAAACAUUUAUUUAUGAAUAAUUGAUCCUUAAAGAGAUUAAAAGAUUAAAUUACUUAAGGGAUAACAGCGUAAUUAAUUUGGAGAGUUCUUAUCAAUAAAAUAGAUUGCGACCUCGAUGUUGGAUUAAAGUAUAUUUUGAGUGCAAAAGCUUAAAGAUUAAGUCUGUUCGACUUUUAAAACUUUACA
rnacentral:rRNA from 1 species